rnacentral:sRNA from 1 species
AAGGUUCGACUCGAGCGAAGCGAGAGAACGCUGCCGCAGGCAACGGCCCGAAGGGCGAGGAGCGAUAGCGACGAGUUAUCCUUCCCCCACCACCA